AGGGGCGUGGCCAAGUGGUAAGGCACCUGCUUUUGGUGCAGGUCAUCGUAGGUUCGAAUCCUUCCGCCCCUGCCA
rnacentral:tRNA from 1 species